CAAAAACGCUAGGGGCGCAAAAAAUGCUGCAUUUGCCAGACAUUCCAACGCUGAGAGAUGAUUUUUCAUCAACCCUUAUUACUUGAACCGGAUAAUACCGGCGUAAGGAAGCUUUUAUGAUAUUUC
rnacentral:ncRNA from 2 species